CCUACGGGAGGCAGCAGUGGGGAAUCUUAGACAAUGGGCGCAAGCCUGAUCUAGCCAUGCCGCGUGGGUGAUGAAGGCCUUAGGGUCGUAAAGCCCUUUCGCCGGGGAAGAUAAUGACGGUACCCGGUAAAGAAACCCCGGCUAACUCCGUGCCAGCAGCCGCGGUAAUACGGAGGGGGUUAGCGUUGUUCGGAAUGACUGGGCGUAAAGCGCGCGUAGGCGGAUCAGGAAGUUGGGGGUGAAAUCCCGGGGCUCAACCCCGGAAUGGCCUUCAAAACUCCUGGUCUUGAGUUCGAGAGAGGUGAGUGGAAUUCCGAGUGUAGAGGUGAAAUUCGUAGAUAUUCGGAGGAACACCAGUGGCGAAGGCGGCUCACUGGCUCGACACUGACGCUGAGGUGCGAAAGCGUGGGGAGCAAACAGGAUUAGAUACCCCUGUAGUC
rnacentral:rRNA from 1 species